GAUGAACGCUAGCGACAGGCCUAACACAUGCAUGUCGAACGAAGCACUUGUGCUUAGUGGCGAAUGGGUGAGUAACACGUACUUAAUCUACCUCUAGGUUUGGGACAACAGUUGGAAACGACUGCUAAUACCGAAUAUUCCUUUUCCUCGCAUGGGGAAUUGGUAAAAGGCCCGUUUGGGUCGCCAAGAGAUGAGAGUGCGGUACAUUAGUUAGUUGGUAGGGUAAUGGCCUACCAAGACGAUGAUGUAUAGCGGGGUUGAGAAGCUGAACCGCCACACUGGGACUGAGAUACGGCCCAGACUCCUACGGGAGGCAGCAGUAGGGAAUAUUCCACAAUGAGCGAAAGCUUGAUGGAGCGACACAGCGUGCAGGAUGAAGGUCUUCGGAUUGUAAAC
rnacentral:rRNA from 1 species